rnacentral:rRNA from 1 species
GCGACCCCAGGUCAGGCGGGAACACCCGCUGAAUUUAAGCAUAAAGGGCGAAUUCG